rnacentral:lncRNA from 1 species
UGUUGGAGCUCUAAGAGUGACCUCACAGUGACCAUUGUGGCUUCAGCUUAUCAUGGUCAUUCAUAGUCAUGGUCAUGGCUAGAAGUAAGCAAGCCCCACUCUCUGGAGCCUCUGCUUCUUCCAGACUGCUCGUCCUGCUGACUGACAGCUCCUGGACCAGCGUCGGGGACCACACCACUCUUCCUCAUGAAGUUUCUCCGCAGAAGCUGGUUCUACCUGACUUCCUACUCGCCCUUGGAGAUUUCUUCUGUUGA